rnacentral:rRNA from 1 species
GAGUAACGCGUAUCCAACCUUCCCCUGCAGUAGGGGAUAGCCCGGCGAAAGUCGGAUUAAUACCCUAUGUUGUUCCAUGAUAGCCUUUGAAAGGAACGAAAGAUUUAUCGCUGCGGGAUGGGGAUGCGCCUGAUUAGCUUGUUGGCGGGGUAACGGCCCACCAAGGCGACGAUCAGUAGGGGUUCUGAGAGGAAGGUCCCCCACACUGGUACUGAGACACGGACCAGACUCCUACGGGAGGCAGCAGUGAGGAAUAUUGGUCAAUGGGCGCAAGCCUGAACCAGCCAAGUAGCGUGCAGGAAGACUGCCCUAUGGGUUGUAAACUGCUUUUACAGGGGAAUAAAGUGGGGUAUGCAUACCUUUUUGCAUGUACCCUGUGAAUAAGGACCGGCUAAUUCCGUGCCAGCAGCCGCGGUAAUACGGAAGGUCCGGGCGUUAUCCGGAUUUAUAGGGUUUAAAGGGAGCGCAGGCGGUGGUUUUAUGCGUGACUUUGAAAUGGUCCCGGGCUCAACCCGGGGAG